rnacentral:snRNA from 1 species
UACUUGCUUUGGCAGCACAUACACUAAAAUUAAAAUGAUACAGAGAAGAUUAUCUGACCCUUGUGCCAGGAUUACACACAAAUUCGUGAAUUAUUCCAUAUUUUU